rnacentral:rRNA from 1 species
GACAGAGGGUGCAAACGUUGUUCGGAAUUACUGGGCGUAAAGCGUGUGUAGGCGGCCAUGAAAGUCGGAUGUGAAAGCCCCGGGCUCAACCCGGGAAGUGCACUCGAUACUGCUUGGCUCGAGUCUCGGAGAGGUUGGUGGAAUUCUCGGUGUAGAGGUGAAAUUCGUAGAUAUCGAGAGGAACACCGGUGGCGAAGGCGGCCAACUGGACGAAGACUGACGCUGAGACACGAAAGCGUGGGGAGCAAACAGG